CUAAAUGACUCUCGACAACGGAUAUCUUGGCUCUUGCAUCGAUGAAGAACGCAGCGAAAUGCGAUACGUGGUGUGAAUUGCAGAAUCCCGUGAACCAUUGAAUUUUUGAACGCAAGUUGCGCCCAAUGCCAUUUUAUAGGUUGAGGGCAUGCCUGCCUGGGUGU
rnacentral:rRNA from 1 species